UACGAAGGGGGCUAGCGUUGCUCGGAAUCACUGGGCGUAAAGGGUGCGUAGGCGGGUCUUUAAGUCAGGGGGGAAAUCCUGGAGCUCAACUCCAGAACUGCCUUUGAUACUGAGGAUCUUGAGUUCGGGAGAGGUGAGUGGAACUGCGAGUGUAGAGGUGAAAUUCGUAGAUAUUCGCAAGAACACCAGUGGCGAAGGCGGCUCACUGGCCCGAUACUGACGCCGAGGCACGAAAGCGUGGGGAGCAAACAGG
rnacentral:rRNA from 1 species